GAGUGCAGAAGAGGACAGUGGAACUCCAUGUGUAGCGGUGAAAUGCUUAGAUAUAUGGAAGAACACCAGUGGCGAAGGCGGCUGUCUGGUCUGUAACUGACGCUGAGGCUCGAAAGUAUGGGUAGCAAACAGGAUUAGAUACCCUGGUAGUCCAUACCGUAAACGAUGAAUGCUAAGUGUUGGAGGGUUUCCCCCUUCAGUGCUGCAGCUAACGCAUUAAGCAUUCCGCCUGGGGAGUACGGCCGCAAGGCUGAAACUCAAAGGAAUUGACGGGGGCCCGCACAAGCGGUGGGGCAUGUGGUUUAAUUCGAAGCUACGCGAAGAACCUUACCAGGUCUUGACAUACUAUGCAAAUCUAAGAGAUUAGACGUUCCCUUCGGGGACAUGGAUACAGGUGGUGCAUGGUUGUCGUCAGCUCGUGUCGUGAGAUGUUGGGUUAAGUCCCGCAACGAGCGCAACCCUUAUUAUCAGUUGCCAGCAUUAAGUUGGGCACUCUGGUGAGACUGCCGGUGACAAACCGGAGGAAGGUGGGGAUGACGUCAAAUCAUCAUGCCCCUUAUGACCUGGGCUACACACGUGCUACAAUGGAUGGUACAACGAGUUGCGAACUCGCGAGAGUAAGCUAAUCUCUUAAAGCCAUUCUCAGUUCGGAUUGUAGGCUGCAACUCGCCUACAUGAAGUCGGAAUCGCUAGUAAUCGCGGAUCAGCAUGCCGCGGUGAAUACGUUCCCGGGCCUUGUACACACCGCCCGUCACACCAUGAGAGUUUGUAACACCCAAAGUCGGCGGGGUAACCUUUAGGAACCAGCCGCCUAAGGUGGGACAGAUGAUUAGGGUGAAGUCGUAACAAGGUA
rnacentral:rRNA from 1 species